CCUACGGGUGACAGCAGUGAGGAAUAUUGGUCAAUGGACGCAAGUCUGAACCAGCCAUGCCGCGUGAGUGAAGAAGUAUUUCGGUACGUAAAGCUCUAUCAGCAGGGAAGAAAAUGACGGUACCUGACUAAGAAGCCCCGGCUAACUACGUGCCAGCAGCCGCGGUAAUACGUAGGGGGCAAGCGUUAUCCGGAUUUUAUGGGUGUAAAGGGAGCGUAGACGGCAGCGCAAGUCUGAAGUGAAAUCCCAUGGCUUAACCAUGGAACUGCUUUGGAAACUGUGCAGCUGGAGUGCAGGAGAGGUAAGCGGAAUUCCGAGUGUAGCGGUGAAAUGCGUAGAUAUUAGGAGGAACACCAGUGGCGAAGGCGGCUUACUGGACUGUAACUGACGUUGAGGCUCGAAAGCGUGGGGAGCAAACAGGAUUAGAUACCCCAGUAGUC
rnacentral:rRNA from 1 species